CCUUAAACUCUUCUUAGCCGGCCGAAGCCGUUGCCCGGGGAUCACCACUGUGAGGUGAGAGUUUCGGUACAUCUAUGCUUAGGAGACAACAAGAGAAGCAGGUCUCAACCCGAAUACCUCAAGGCAAAAAGCAGGAGUUGUUUUUGAACUAACAAUGUUGAGUAAGCUUGGCGCCUAUAGGGUCAUGAGGCGUAUUCAAGCAUUGAUCUCACUAAGCUAGUGAAUAGCCUUUUCGUAAUGCUGGGUAAAGCCAAGUAUAGACUUAGUUUUAAUUAUAGAUUAAAAGGGAGUUUUUGGCCAAGCAAUACCCCUAAAUUAAUAAACGUAUCUACAUUUUCCAAUUUGUGUGAAUUGUUGAAAUGCUCAAUCGAAAAUGGAUUCCACCUACAAAAGGAAGGCUUCUUGCUUUUCUUGUAGGUUUAAUUUCAUAAAAUCUGUUGAGUACCAUGUAAUCAAUUUGUGCAUAUCCCGCUGAAAGAGAUAAGAGUGCGAUUUCACCCUAAAUGACAAAAACAAUUUUGCGUCAUCAGGAUAUAGCUGAACUUGAUCACUGAAAGUAAGUCAUUCAUAUGCAGUAUAAUUAGCAAGCGUCCUAAGGGAUCCCUUGAGGCACACUUCGACAUUUAUCAUAUGUGAUGGAAUUGAAAAGAACCUUGAAUGAUCUACUAUGAAGAUAAGUACCUAUCCAUUUCAAUGUAUGAAGGCCCCAGAGCUUGUAGUUUAAAAUCCAAUAAAUGAUAACUAACUAUAUGAUAAGCGUUAUUAAAAAUUCCGUAUACGACAUCAGUAUCACAGCCACUAUAAGAAGCUUUGAAAAUAAGACAAGCAAGCUUUACCAAGUAAGUAACGGUUGACAUUCCUGUUAAGAAUAUAUACUGAUGUAGAUAAAUCGAAAAAAUGACAGCGAAAGCUAAUUGUUGGGUAACAGUUCCUUCAAACAACUUAGGUAAAACAUUCAACUCGCCAAUGACUCUGCAAUUCUCGACUAUUUGCCUGCAUUUUGUGCAUAGGAAUAAUAAAGCUGCUCUUCUAGUAUAAAGGGAAUCUCCUAUCCCCAGGGAAAGAUUACACAUCUUCAUACAAACCACAUAGUCAAGAAAUGGUGCCAGGUCCUGGUGUAAAACUACAUUUCAGCGACCUCAACGCUAGUAAUACGUCACUUUCAGAAGUGAUCAAAUUCGGGAUCGCUAUAGAGUUUAUGAUUAGAUAGAAAAGUACCGUCGGAAAUACUGGAUAAAGAGACUCAUGGCUUCUGCAUCCCUAGAUGAAUCAAAAUCAUUAAACGACGUCGAUGAUGGAUUUAUGGAGACUCUCCUUUUGAAGAUUAUUAAGAGUAAAAAUUUUAUUAGUUGAAGAUGUCUACUGAAAACUGUGCACAUGUGAUAAAUUUCUUAUUCUUUUUGGUCAUGUUCACUCACAGCAUUGCCGUUUAUUGAAAGCAACUCUGUUGUCUCUCCAUGAAAGUAACUCUUGUCUCACAUGAUCCUUUUUUUUAUAAAUCUUUUAAAGUAAAAAAUCCAGCUAAGGUUUUAAUUUGCACACUGGCCUCUCUUUCACUUAAACUACGACUUUACGUUACAAAAAGACUGUGCAUUAGUUUAGUCAAACCAAUGCUUGGCUACGCCUCUGUUGUGUAGUCUGCUGCCUAUAGAAGCUUUGUAGAAUAGAGUAUCGUUCAACAACAAUUUCUCCUCUUUGCAUCUGCGAAUUAGGGCUAGGACGCGCUUAUCUCUUUGCCUCCUUAUGAAAACAGAUUGUUAGACUUACCUUCAGUUGGGAAACGUAGAUUUUAUCCCAAGUAUUUCCUGCUUAAUUAAGUUAAUAAAAGAUAUCAUCGAUUCACCGACAUUACUUUUUGAGAUAAAAUCUACUGUUCCGAAUCGUUUUUAUGAACUUUAUUUUCGUAAAACUCGACCAAUGUAGAUUUUAGAAUGAGCUUUUCAACCAAAACUCAUACUUUGCAAAAAUCUAAAAGACAUUUGUAAUUUAAUCUCAAUAUCCGAUUUUCUAAAUUUUACCAAAUCAACUAUUGUUAAUACGCGCGAAGUCGUGUUCAAAUUAACGUUUAAUAUUAAUAUAUUAGUAAGAUUCGAAUAUUAACUGAAUUUGUUUACCGUCAUCAGUUGCUAAGCUUUGGCCUCUUUGCAACGACUUAAAGGUUCGCUCAGACCUUGGAUCUGGACUGGCUGCGGAUGUGUCUUUGUAUCAGAGGUGUAUACGCCUUUUCUCUUUGUUUAUACAAGAAUUUUAUCAUUUUUAUUGUUUCAUCAUCAUUUUUUUCUUCAUUCACAACUAUAAAAGAAGUAUACAAAAUCUUGUUAAAAAAUUUAUUAUUUUUCACUUUGAAAAUUAAAGUUUGACCGAAAUUAAAAUUGUGAAUUUGUGAAUUGUAAAAAAAAGAAAAAAUAAUUUUUUUUGGUCAGGGUAAGUAAAAUUUUUUUUAUAAAUAUCGAGCUAAUUAAAGAGUGUUCAUUAAUGUACACAUUACAAGCACAAUAUACCUUAACUUUCUUUUAUGCUCGUUCAUUGAGGAAUGAUACAAGCACAAUCACUACGCACAAGAAAGGAUCACCACGGGAAAAAACGACAAAGGCCUUUCCGGAUGCUUCCGACCCCCUAACGUUACCUCAAUAGUUCGUCGUUUCCAAAGCAGUUCUUCAUUACUUCCUAGGAGAAAUUAGUAUGAGGAGUACAUAUAUACCACUGGCAUUGCGCUUAGCCAUUAUAAUAUUUUUACUAUUUAUUACAGUGGCUGGAUGUCUUGGUGGUUAAACUAAUUUUUAUUAAUCGGAAAGAAACACAGGCUAAAUGAAAUGAUAAUUUGUGACCAUGGCAGGAAAGUCAUGGCAGCCAAUUUCAGAUUUCCUGGGUUUUCCCAUGAUUCGCUUGUGUGGAGCCACUGCGGUGAAACAGCUUACCCAGAACACUAUUAAAUUGGGCAUGAUUCAUCGCUUGUCUGCUCAGUGAUAGGGGGUAUGUCCUAGAUCCUUGUCUAAUGACACCAAAUGCAAUGAAAUGCAUUGCAAGGCGUGGAACAUUGUAAAAAAAUGCAUUGGUAUGUAUAAAAGUCGCUGGAGUAAUCUGCCGGAAGAUCGAAAGAGCUGCUACAGACAAAAAAAAGCUGAAAAUAAUCGUAAACGUUUAUGCGACGUUGCACAACAUUUGCGUUGACUAAAAAGUGGAAGAAGAUCAUUUGGAUGCUCCAGCUCUCCAGAUGAUCUAUGAAGAUGAUGGUUUUAUAAAAAAAUGUACUGCUGACCAGUGUUCGAAAAUAUUUCAAUUUUGUUAAGAAAUAAUCUACUAACAAUACAAUUUUUGAUCCACUUUUAUCAACCUAUUGUCACCAUUUUGUCCUACUUUGCUCUCCACUCCUUGCGUUGUCGGCAGUUUCGGGGAAACUGUUUCCUUACAUUAUGUUCACUUAUUAAUAAGGCUAAUAACUGCUAGAAACAAUAAAUAUUGCUAAAUAUCAAAAUUUGUCCGUUCCAGGAUAUUUUUAACAAAUGGAAUUGUUUGUAAGUGCAAUUUGGCUUAUAUUAAGUAGGUAUUUAAAAUUAAAACCAUUAAAUUAGCCAAUCGUGGAACAACUUGAC